rnacentral:tRNA from 1 species
GGCCCGUUGGUCAAGCGGUUAAGACACCGCCCUUUCACGGCGGUAACACGGAGUCCCGUACGGGUCA